GCUUGUCUCAAAGAUUAAGCCAUGCAUGUCUAAGUACAAGCCUCAGUAAGGUGAAACUGCGAAUGGCUCAUUAUAUCAGUUAUAGUUUAUUUGAUGGUUCUUGCUACUUGGAUAACCGUAGUAAUUCUAGAGCUAAUACAUGCGUCAAACCUCGACUUCUGGGAGAGGUGUAUUUAUUAGAUGGAAACCAAUGCGGGGCAACCCGGUAUAUGGUGAUUCAUAAUAACUUUCAGAUCGAUCGCAAGAUCGAUGCAUCAUUCAAGUUUCUGCCCUAUCAGCUUUGGAUGGUAGGGUAUUGGCCUACCAUGGCUUUAACGGGUAACGGAGAAUUAGGGUUCGAUUCCGGAGAGGGAGCCUGAGAAACGGCUACCACAUCCAAGGAAGGCAGCAGG
rnacentral:rRNA from 1 species